UACGGAGGGUGCGAGCGUUGUCCGGAAUCACUGGGCGUAAAGGGCGCGUAGGUGGCGCGAGGAGUCUGUGGUGAAAGCCCGAGGCUCAACUUCGGGUCGGCCGCGGAUACUCUCGUGCUGGAGGGUGGUAGAGGCCAAUGGAAUUCCGGGUGUAGCGGUGAAAUGCGCAGAUAUCGGGAGGAACACCUGUGGCGAAAGCGGCUCACUGGACCACAACUGACGCUGAUGCACGAAAGCUAGGGGAGCAAACAGG
rnacentral:rRNA from 1 species